CGAAGCCUUCGGGCUUAGUGGCGGACGGGUGAGUAACGCGUGGGAACGUACCCUUGGGUGCGGAACAACAGUUGGAAACGACUGCUAAUACCGCAUGAUGUCCGCAAGGACCAAAGAUUUAUCGCCCAGGGAUCGGCCCGCGUUGGAUUAGGUAGUUGGUGGGGUAAUGGCCUACCAAGCCUACGAUCCAUAGCUGGUUUGAGAGGAUGAUCAGCCACACUGGGACUGAGACACGGCCCAG
rnacentral:rRNA from 1 species